ACGGGCUACGGUGUUACGUAUACUAGCAAGGUUAAGAGUUGAGUGUGUUGAGGCGAGUCAAAAGUGAGUUUUAUCUGGUGUUUCAGUUACUGGACGUAGACCCGAAACCGGGCGACCGCCACGUGAGGAGGAUGAAGCGAAAGUAGAAGUGGGUGGAGGUCCGAACCGACGAUCGUUGAAAAGCUCGGGGAAGACUGGUGGGUAGCGGUGAAAUUCCAAUCGAGCCCGGAGAUAGCUGGUUCUCCCCGAAAUAGCCUUAGGGCUAGCCUCAAGGUGAGGGAUACGGAGGUAGAGCACUGAAUGUCCUAGGGGGUAUUGCACCGACCGAAGACUAUCAAACUCCGAAUGCCGUCAUCUUAUACUUGGGAGUCAGACUGUGGGUGAUAAGAUUCAUAG
rnacentral:rRNA from 1 species